rfam:Triticum aestivum genome assembly, contig: Triticum_aestivum_CS42_TGACv1_scaffold_289977_4AL
GUGGUAAGAGGUACUCUGGUAGCCAGGGUGACUUGCCCAUGAAACCGCCGGACGCCGCUCUCUCGGCUGCCAGGCGAGUUUCACAGGCAAAUCAUCCUUGGCUAUCAAAGAUGGCCUCUUACGC